AGUGAACGCUGGCGGUAGGCCUAACGCAUGCAAGUCGAACGGCAGCACAGUAAGAGCUUGCUCUUACGGGUGGCGAGUGGCGGACGGGUGAGGAAUACAUCGGAAUCUACUUUUUCGUGGGGGAUAACGUAGGGAAACUUACGCUAAUACCGCAUACGACCUACGGGUGAAAGCAGGGGAUCUUCGGACCUUGCGCGAUUGAAUGAGCCGAUGUCGGAUUAGCUAGUUGGCGGGGUAAAGGCCCACCAAGGCGACGAUCCGUAGCUGGUCUGAGAGGAUGAUCAGCCACACUGGAACUGAGACACGGUCCAGACGCCUAAGGGAGGCAGCAGUGGGGAAUAUUGGACAAUGGGCGCAAGCCUGAUCCAGCCAUACCGCGUGGGUGAAGAAGGCCUUCGGGUUGUAAAGCCCUUUUGUUGGGAAAGAAAAGCAGCAGGUUAAUACCCCGCUGUUCUGACGGUACCCAAAGAAUAAGCACCGGCUAACUUCGUG
rnacentral:rRNA from 1 species